GUGGAUUAUUAUCAUGCAAUUCAUUGUAAGUUGGAUCGUGUUUGAAGCAACAGGUUCUGUUACUUCUGUAACCAACCGAUAGUUCUAGUCAAUGCUCUAACAAAUCUGUCACCAAAAAAUGCUCUAAUAAAUUUCCAUCAUAUUCCUCAGAAGUUACAAAAUUUCCAUGAGCCUAAAGUUUGCAUCCAUAUGCUCUACCUUGUUUCAAGUUUCAGGUGCUCCCAUUUGCCCUUGGAAUAAACGGGUUUGAACUGAUACUCGUUCCAUCCAAUUUCAGCCAUUUGUUUUACUUAUCCAUAGGUAAAUGUAGGCAUUUCAAGGACAAAUUUGACAAUAAUGGUGGUUAAGAGUC
rnacentral:lncRNA from 1 species